CCGAUCUUAACUGUACAUUUUGUUUUCAGACUAACCUCGCCUCAUAUUGAGGCCGUGACCUCCUAUUUGCUCGGCGCUAUGUCUGCAAGUCUAGAUUUACAGGAUGCUGAUAAUGACGACAUUGUGUCUGCCUGUAAGACCUAUUACGAGACAGUACGCAGGAGCUUCAGGUACAAACAACCAGACCUUGCACCGCAGGCGGAAGCUGAAGAGUUCAGCUCAGAGUUGAUCGAGAAGAAAGACGCUGCUGGAAGCGAGCCAGUGUGCUAUAUGAGGAAGAGGGGGAACUUUGGAAGUCCGCCACCAUAGACCUGAUGUCUGAAGAUGACGUCGUUGGCGGGUGUCUGGAUGGAUUGUGCGACUUCCGUCCUUUCGCAGCCAGGAGCUCACCGAGCUCUGUGCCACACUGCAGUCGAUUAGAGGCGACUCCGAAGUACAGGGCAACGCACCACAGACGUCUGCAAAAUGGGCCAAAUUCAGACAGAAUGCUGCCAGUUAACUACAGCUCCGAGGCGGCAAACAGCCACUUCACGGUGCUGUAGGAUUUUGGGCUUCUCGUGAGCUUCCAUUUGUUGUGUGGGCAGAUCUCACUUUGUACAUAGUUGUGUGUUUGUG
rnacentral:lncRNA from 15 species